rnacentral:rRNA from 1 species
AUUGAACGCUGGCGGCAGGCCUAACACAUGCAAGUCGAACGAGUGGCGGACGGGUGAGUAAUGUCUGGGAAACUGCCUGAUGGAGGGGGAUAACUACUGGAAACGGUAGCUAAUACCGCAUACCAUCGGAUGUGCCCAGAUGGGAUUAGCUAGUGGGUGGGGUAAAGGCUCACCUAGGGGACGAUCCCUAGCUGGUCUGAGAGGAUGACCAGCCACAUGGGAACUGAGACACGGUCCAGAGUCCUCGGGUAGGAAGAAGUGGGGAAUAUUGCACAAUGGGCGCAAGCCUGAUGCAGCAAUGCCGCGUGUAUGAAGAAGGCCUUCGGUUUGUAAAGUACUUUCAGCGGGGAGGCGUUACCCGCAGAAGAAGCACCGGCUAACUCCGUGCCAGCCGCCGCGGUAAUAC